GCCAAGGGCCCAUGGGAGAUGGGUUUUGUUAUCCAGACGCUGGAGAGAGGGGUCCUGGGGAGAAAAGCUGGAAACCUCACACCCAGGGCAUUCCCCCAAGUCUCCUCUCCUCUGAGCCCUGCUUCUCUGACUCCUCACAGAGCAUCUCACCACCAGGAUGCCGCCCUCCAGGACCCCCAACUCUGCCCAUCUCAGAACCGGCCCUGUCCUGGCAGCUCCACCAGAAUCUGAAACACUCCACCAGAAUCAGGAAACAGUCAGACAACCCUUUUUAUACCAGGGUUGCCCUGUAACAGUUUGGUGCAGUAAAGAAAAGGGGAGCCAAGCUAAACUUUCUCAAAGGAAGGGAAAAUUCAUUGCGCCCCCGGGCGAUCUUCGUGGACCCAAGGUGCUUCACCAGUUUCGUUGCCUGCCUGGCCCUUCACCUGCUCUGCUCCAGGGACAUCUGUGCUGCCCAGACUUCUGUGCUGCAGUCCUGUGAGUCUCAUGCUACUCCUGGCCCAUCUGACUGGGCCCAGCCCGAGCCUCUCGAGAGCCUCAACCUUCCCUGGUGUACUCCUGUUCCCCAUGGCCACUGAGUGGUUGUGCUUUGGGGGUGGAGGUCUUCUGCCGGGUAUGGCGCUAUUUUCAAUCUUUGUUGCUCUCCAGUUCCAAUGCUGCACAGCAGCAACAAAAUUCCAGGAUAAUUUCUAAUACCCUAUCUCUGGCCCUGAUGAUUGCUGAAGGGGCCACUGCACUGAAAGGCCAGCCACGUCUUGGGGGAGGUCUUAGGGUGGUGCUGGAGGGCUGGGGAGCUGG